rnacentral:piRNA from 1 species
GUUUGCAUUUGGUAAACCUGGCU